rnacentral:rRNA from 1 species
UACAGAGGCCUCGAGCGUUAGGCGGAAUCACUGGGCUUAAAGCGUGUGUAGGUGGAUGCCUAAGUGCCUUGUGAAAUCCCACGGCCUAACCGUGGAAUUGCUGGGCAUACUGGGUGUCUUGAGCCAUCUAGGGGCGACUGGAACAAACGGUGGAGCGGUGAAAUGCGUAGAUAUCGUGUGGAACGCCAAUGGUGAAAACAGGCCGCUGGGGAUGGGCUGACGCUGAGACACGAAAGCCAGGGGAGCAAACGGG